GGCUGCCUGCUGCAGCUGUCUCCUGCAGAAUCAGCCAUCCCCGCCUCCCAGGUGCCAGAGCAGCUCCUGCUGCAGAUUUCCAAGGAGCCUUUUGUCAGGGAGAUUCCUGCCAGCUGGACCAAAACUCUUGUGUCAACCGUGUCAGCAUCACGAUGCACACACCUACAGAUGCUCGCUCGCUCAUCUUUACAGCCUCCACAAAGAAGCAGGAAGGGAACAACUUCCACUAGUAAGUCCGAGGGCCGACCGAGGUCAACCCUGUAAUUUGUGGCUUGACAGAGAAAGCAGCCGGCUCUCGGCCCAUCUGGAGAUCCCAGGGAGGAAAAGUCUAGCAAACUUGGGCAGCUUCUGCUGCUGCACAGUAGGUAACAGAGGAUCUGCAGUGGAGGCCGCUCUGACGCACUCGGCUUAGCCGACCAGUGAGCACAUUCGAAUAUGC
rnacentral:lncRNA from 1 species